GUGGGAGACCUGCUCUGAGGAAGGUGACCCCUAACGGACAGUGUUCCCGGCUGCCACGCCUGCCCCUGCUCAUGCAGACAGUUUGGCCACGGUGCUGAGCGCAGGACAACGACCCGGCCCAACGCCCUGGAUCAAUGCCGAGGGAAACUGCUGGUGUAUAGCCUGGUACGGUCUAGGGAAGGGGGUCAGGGGAACCCAGCAGAGACCUGCCACUCAUGUUCUCUUCCUGACUUUUCAGAACCUGUUGGCAAAGCAAGGAUUGUGGCUCUUAUGGGGCCUGAGUCAGAGAAACGUGCCAGAGAAAGUGGCGCUGGCCAAGAAGCUCCUGGUGAAAUUGCGCUUCCUGGCCCAGGAGACUUCAGCUACUUCCAGCUCCGGGCCCACUUGUACCAGACCCAAGGGGUGCUGGCAGCAGAUGACAGCGGG
rnacentral:lncRNA from 1 species